CCUGUCUUUUCACUGUAUCUCACUUCAAGUCAAGAUAACUUUAAUUAUCAUUCAGACUAUACACAGGACAAGUGCACAGUAGAACGAAAUUAUGUUGCAUCCGGCUCACGAUGAUAAUUGAGAAGUACUAUAGAACUGACCGAGGAGCCAGUGCAGCCGCUGCUGUACAGGGCCCCGCCAUCAAUGAGAAACAUUGGUUCAAUACAAUAUGAGAACAAGGGGGAGUACCCAGAAAGGAAGCAAGGAAGAAAGAAAGGCCAGAGGACAUUAUUAUAUCCAUUUUUGAGAGUAGUAAUUGGGCCUACAGCACAAGUUCAGUUUUCACCUGCACAUCCUCAUACCUAAACGACAGAAC